UUAAAUCAUAUCGCGCGCUCAGUACUCCCUUCUUCUUCCCUCAGCUUUCCCUGCGUCUCGCCCGUCGCCGAUGGUUCUUGCCAAUCGCCGCUGGGUCUUUCCCGUCGCCGGUGGUACUCCAGCAAGAUCUUGGGUUUUUGUCGGGAUUUUAAUUUGGAAUUAAGUUAGAAAUUAGGGCUUGUGAAUUAGAAUUUGGGGAUUUGGGAGUUAGGGCUUUUCGUAUCGGCGGUAGAGCACCACUCGGAACCACUCCACAGCAGCGGCGUGAGUGACCGAUGACAGCCCGCAGUGGUGGUCGACGGAGCAAGCUAGGUUUCAUGUCAAAUGCUGGGCAUUGUGAAAUUUCCCCCUUUUCUUCUCCCAAAACCCUAAUUUUCAAUUGGAAAGCCAUUGACAAUUAAACAUAAGGUAAAUCAGAGUUAAAUUUACAAUUUUUGUUGGGAGUUUUGCCGGUCUUUUCUUUACAAUUUACAAUUGCAAAUUUGAAUUUAAUAUUGUUGAAGUCAAUUCAUGAUAUGGAGAAGUUUUUUGUUUUCUAAAUUCAACAAGUAUGGUACUUCUAUAGUUUAAUUUAUGCCUUUUGCAAUAAGAUAAUGGUUUUUUUUCUUGGACGUGUGGGUUUUGUCGGUCGGAAUUAGGAAUUAGGAAGUUGAGUGUAGUGCUAUCCGCCCCAACCCAUAAUCUACAUAAAGAAUGGUGAGCCAGUUUCCGACAAUUGAUGUAACAUAAGGAUCCCAAUGUACAGUAAUUGAUAACAUCCAGAUGCUUUGCCAUUUUUAAUCUUAUGGUGUCUUUUUGCUUUUUCCUUUUCUUGCUCGUAGAUUGAAAUUUAAGUAUCCGCGUUUUAGUCGCUAUUGCUCAAAUAUUAUUCGUUGAUAGCGAGGUUUUUACCCCUUUUUCCCUGUUGCGAAGAUGUAUCAUCGAGUCAAGUCGAGUAUUUCCUGGUCCGUUUUGUAGCGUAAGUUUGAAUGUUGAAAUGUUGAAUAGUAUUUUGCAUAGCAUGAUGUUAGACUAGAUUUCACGAUGUGUCGUGUAGCACACUGAUUGUUUGGCACUUGUGUUGUAUUCGUUGGUCUGAAAACUCUUGGUCAUGCUUUAUCGACUGUCUUAUGGAAGCCUGCCUAAUACUCCGUAACUAACUAUAUAUUAAGUAAUUUUAACCAAUAGAAGCAGUUGAUUAUUUAGGUGGAAUUAUCAUAUCGGAUUUUGUUUAUCCAGAUAAACAUGUCAAAUGAAAGUAGUUGAGUAUUUGGAUGGAACUAUCACUAGAUUUCUUUGCUGAAUAGAUAUACAAAUUCAGAAUAUAAUACUAUGAGUACUCUGUAUUUGACAAUGCAAGAGUAUAUUCUUAUCCACCUCAAUAUCCAUAAUCUAAAAACAGGACUGUCAAUAUCAGUUAAUUUAUUUUUAACCUCUCUUGUUUUUAUAUUUAUUUAUUUAAUUAUUUAUUUAUGUGAUUACUCUGACCUGGUGGAGCGUGCAAAAUGCUUCCACGAACUCUUUAAGAGCCUGCGCAAGAAACUGGAAUGGCUGUUUCUUUCAAGAACCUUAAACCUGAAGGUUUCCAGGGUGACAAGGAGUAUUGGUUGAGUACAUGGAUCAAAUAGUACGCUCUUGCAUUCAAGUUCUCGCUCUCUUAUCAACGCCUUCAGGCAGAGGCUUUCCCUUGGCUUCUUUACUUUGGUCUCCGUUCUGCCUCACGUAGCAGAAAUACCUUUUUAUCUUGUUCAAUCCCAGAUGUUAAAGCUCAUAUUGGUUGGCAUCUCAAGUUCCCCUGGAGUAGUAUCUAACAAACUUGUUGAAGCAAUAAGUGGUUCCUUGAAGCUAAUGCUAAAGAGAUACAAUGCUGGAG